rnacentral:rRNA from 1 species
GAUGAACGCUGGCGGCGUGCCUAAUACAUGCCAGUCGAGCGAACGGACGAGAAGCUUGCUUCUCUGAUGUUAGCGGCGGACGGGUGAGUAACACGUGGAUAACCUACCUAUAAGACUGGGAUAACUUCGGGAAACCGGAGCUAAUACCGGAUGAUAUUUUGAACCGCAUGGUUCAAAAGUGAAAGACGGUCUUGCUGUCACUUAUAGAUGGAUCCGCGCUGCAUUAGCUAGUUGGUAAGGUAACGGCUUACCAAGGCAACGAUGCAUAGCCGACCUGAGAGGGUGAUCGGCCACACUGGAACUGAGACGCGGUCCAGACUCCUACGGGAGGCAGCAGUAGGGAAUCUUCCGCAAUGGGCGAAAGCCUGACGGAGCAACGCCGCGUGAGUGAUGAAGGUCUUCGGAUCGUAAAACUCUGUUAUUAGGGAAGAACAUAUGUGUAAGUAACUGUGCACAUCUUGACGGUACCUAAUCAGAAAGCCACGGCUAACUACGUG